UAUCUAUCUCUACCUCUAAUUC
rnacentral:siRNA from 1 species